rnacentral:piRNA from 1 species
UGAAAGCACUGUAGAAGGUCUCAUUCUGCCU